rnacentral:rRNA from 1 species
UAGCGGCGACAGCGGGAAGCGAGGGGCGACCUUGAGCGAUCCCUCAAAAGCCGGUCUCAGUUCGGAUUGCAGUCUGCAACUCGACUGCAUGAAGUUGGAAUCGCUAGUAAUCGUGGACCAGCCAAGCCGCGGUGAAUACGUUCCCGGGCCUU